UACAGAGGUGGCAAGCGUUGUUCGGAAUUACUGGGCGUAAAGGGCGCGUAGGCGGUCUUGCAAGUCCUGUGUGAAAUCCUGGAGCUCAACUCCAGAACUGCCUUUGAUACUGAGGAUCUUGAGUUCGGGAGAGGUGAGUGGAACUGCGAGUGUAGAGGUGAAAUUCGUAGAUAUUCGCAAGAACACCAGUGGCGAAGGCGGCUCACUGGCCCGAUACUGACGCUGAGGCACGAAAGCGUGGGGAGCAACA
rnacentral:rRNA from 1 species